rnacentral:rRNA from 1 species
GCUCCUCCUGUAGGCAGCAGUCGGGAAUAUUGCGCAAUGGAGGAAACUCUGCCUCCUUUCCUCCUCUUUCCUUCCUCCUUUUUUCUGAUUGUAAACUGCUUUAGACAUUUCAUAUAAUGACAGUACCUGUAGAAUAAGCACCGGCUAACUCCGUGCCAGCAGCCGCGGUAAUACGGAGGGUGCAAGCGUUACUCGGAAUCACUGGUCGUAAAGAGCGCGUAGGCGGGAUAGCAAGUCAGAUGUGAAAUCCUAUGGCUUAACCAUAGAACUGCAUUUGAAACUGUUAUUCUAGAGUAUGGGAGAGG